GAAUAUUGCACAAUGGGGGAAACCCUGAUGCAGCAACGCCGCGUGAGCGAUGAAGGCCUUCGGGAAGUAAAGCUCUGUCCUAAGGGAAGAAUAAUGACGGUACCUUAGGAGGAAGCCACGGCUAACUACGUGCCAGCCGCCGCGGUAAUACGUAGGGGGCAAGCGUUAUCAGGAAUCACUGGGCGUAAAGGGUGCGGAGGCGGCCGAUAAAGUCUGGGGUGAAAGGCUACGGCUUAACCGUAGUAAGCCUCGGAAUCUUAUUGGCUUGAGUGCAGUAGAGGUAAGUGGAAUUCCUAGUGUAGCGGUAAAAUGCGUAGAUAUUAGGAGGAACACCAGUGGCGAAGGCGACUUACUGUACUGUAACUGACGCUGAGGCACGAAAGCGUGGGGAGCGAACA
rnacentral:rRNA from 1 species